AUAUUGCAGAGCAACUUGAAAGGGGGAGCUGGCCGCGUAGGAGGUGAGAGCCAGCCGCAAAAAUCCGUUCGGCGGCAUUUUCUCUUCAAACCCGCCCGGUCGGAUGUGGCAUUUGAAGAAAGAAGGCGUGGGUCAAUAAUCAACCCGCACUUUCUCCUCCAAACUGCUGACGCGACUCUCACCGCCUUCUCAGCUAAGCCAGCUGCCGGGAAGGCCAGCUCUCCGUAAGAACCUGCCAGGGGAAGGGAUUCUCUGGGCCAAGGGGACCGAGGGCUCCCGAGCAAGGGCUGGGGCGCCCUGAAAGCAUACCUUUCCACUGGCGCCAAGACCCUGCCGGGCAAAACGCGGGGACCAGACCUGAGGAGCCGUGGGAGCCCAGGGAGAUCUGGGGCGGGAGCUUCGUUCCGGCCAGGGCCUCUAUCCGCCCCGAUACGUGGCUCCUGGGCCGCGGGCCUCAGCGGGCAGAAGUGGGGCUCCGACCUCAAGAUGAAGGUCCAGCGUCCUGGCAUGCAGAUGGUCGGUGCCCCAGCCUCAAGCCGCUCUGCUUAAAUCCAAAGGACUGGCUUUGGAGCAAGCGUAGGCGAGAUUAUUUUAAAAUAAUAAUUUAUGCUGGCGGAAGGUUUUUAUUUGUUGGUUUGCUAUUGGUGUUUUGUUUUUUAAGCGAAAAUGCCGAUUGUUGAUUUCCACCUCCAGAAAUUACCAGCCGCCGCCGCUGCGCCCUUUCUAGACAAAUCCCACAGCAGUUCACCCGGCUCCCCCAAAACCGCAGAGCUUUUCUUUACUGAGAGGACCCCUUGGUUCCACCAAUUCCCCCAAAUCCCCGUGGCUCCCGAUCUCUCAUCCAGGGGGACUAGAAGAAAAGAUUUUCUCAGCACUAGAAGAAUACUUGGAGCAGCAAAGGUGCCCGUGGUGUCUUUCUACCAUUCAAGGGGUGUCCUCCUGAAGGCGUCUGAGAGGGCCUCUGGCGGUUCCAAGGCUGUGCAGCCGGGGAGGAAGGAAAAGGAAACGCCAAGACAUAGAAAACCACGCUUUUCCCGUAGGAAGAACCGAUGAUGAGCCCUGAUGAAAGAAGGAAGAAGACCCGCUGUCUGCGAAGGCCUAAAGGUUAGAAAUACAGCAAUUUUUCUCAUGCCGAAGGAAAGGCAAAAUGGUCUAAGAAACUGCAAGAGUGUGAUACAAGUUUUCCUCAACAGCGAGCUGGGACUGGCGACAAUUUCUUAACUCACAGCCUCCGCAGUCGCCUUAGUCGACAAAGAGAGCAGCCCACGCAGCGGCCGCCGCGCCCGUGCCCGUGGCCUUUACUUGCUUUUGCCCUGAAGUUCAGUGUAGUGGUUUGUUUGGGGCUUGCAGGAAGAAACAAACACACUCCCUCUGACUCUCCACAACCCAUCUUUGCCUUCUGCAACCGCUUCUCCUGCCCAUCGCUGGUUUUGGGGUAGGCUCUUUGUCUGCCUGAGGCCCCGCACUCGCAGGGCAAGAAGCUUAAAGGAAUCCAACUCCAAACUCCUCCGAAGUUAAAUAUUGACCAGAACCUCUUUCAACAGGCCGCGGUUGCCAGGAACCGUGGAGGGCCAACUCCUCCCAACCGCCCUGGUGCAAAGUCCCACGCGGCGAAGAGUUUUGGAGCAGCGCUUACCUAGAAAGAUGUUUAAAUUCUGAACCAGGAAUUGUCUCCAACUCCAGGCGCUCAGGGAAUCGCCUUUUCCGGUGUCCAGGCGCUCUGCAGACAAAUAAACAGCAGAAGGUGAAUGGCGGCUGCGAGGGAAGGGAGUUGGAGGCCGGGAGUGGGAAGCGAGGCUCAUGCGGGCGCCAAGGUGGCCCUGGGGGUGACGCGAACAUCAGGGAGUCACCAGGGCACUCGUCCGUGUGGCGCACUCAUUGCUCGAAAUGUUCCAGUCUACAAAUGGUCCGAAGAUGGUGAUUUAUUUUUGUAAAAUAAAUACAUACUCCAUCUCCACACC
rnacentral:lncRNA from 1 species